GGAAAAGAAACCAACAGGGAUUGCCCUAGUAACGGCGAGUGAAGCGGCAAUAGCUCAAAUUUGAAAGCUGGCCUCUGGUCCGCAUUGUAAUUUGUAGAGGAUGCUUUUAGGCAGCCGCCGGUCUAAGUUCCUUGGAACAGGACGUCAUAGAGGGUGAGAAUCCCGUAUGUGACCGGCUCAGGCACCUUCUGUAAAGCUCCUUCGACGAGUCGAGUUGUUUGGGAAUGCAGCUCUAAAUGGGAGGUAAAUUUCUUCUAAAGCUAAAUACUGGCGAGAGACCGAUAGCGCACAAGUAGAGUGAUCGAAAGAUGAAAAGCACUUUGGAAAGAGAGUUAAAAAGCACGUGAAAUUGUUGAAAGGGAAGCGCUUGCAAUCAGACUUGGCUUAGAUUGUUCAACCGGUCUUCUGACCGGCCUAUUCAUUCUGAGCCAGGCCAGCAUCAGUUUCGGCGGCCGGAUAAAGGCCUUGGGAAUGUGGCCCUCCCUUCGGGGUGGGUGUUAUAGCCCAGGGUGUAAUACGGCCAGCCGGGACUGAGGUCCGCGAUUCGUCUAGGAUGCUGGCGUAAUGGUUGUAAGCGGCCC
rnacentral:rRNA from 1 species